UACAGCCAUACCACCCUGAACACACCCUAUCUUGUCUGAUCUGGAAGCUAAGCAGGGUUGGUCCUCGUUAGUAGUUGGAUGAUUUCAUUUCUUUUAGGUAUAUACCCAGUAAAUGGGAUUGCUGGAU
rnacentral:rRNA from 1 species